GUGAAACUAGUAGGUGGAGAAAAAGAAGGUCUCGGUCAUAGUCAUAACAGGUGAAUGUGAACGAAGAAGAGCUGAGUGAAAGAAAGAGACAGCGAUUUCAACCGGAGGUGGAGAGCAUCGCUUUGUUUUGGGAUUGGGUUGUGGAGUGCAUCUUCUGGAAUUGCGUUGAGACAAGUAGGAGAGCUCCAGAGUUUUCAAAUAUCAAAAUUUGCCAGGACAACUCCCACCAGAGUUGAUCAGGCUCCCCUAUCUCCAAGAAAUUGACCUCUCCCGCAACUGCCUGAAUAGUACUAUCCUCCAGAAUGGUGCCCUAACAUGUACAAGAAUGGAGUGGUAGUGUUAUGCAGACCACGCAGAGAACCAAAAUGGGGAGCAUAAUGGUCCUAUGCUUCAUCUUCUUUUCAUGCUAUUCAUGAGCUUUGCUCUUCUUCGCUAGCUAGCUGCGACCUUGGUCAACACGCUACAUUAAUGAGGUAUAUAAUCGACUGUCAAAGUUUUAAGUGCUGAAUUAUUAAAUUAUCCUUAAAACUAGUUCGAUCUUGUUCAUUUAGAUUGCUCUAAAUUCAUUUUUUUUUCCUAGAUAAGUUCUUUUUUGGACAAGGACCUGGACUUUUGGACAAGGACUUUCAUGGUUAAUGUAGUCAUGGUCAUCUUUA